UACGUAGGGGGCAAGCGUUGUCCGGAUUUAUUGGGCGUAAAGAGCGUGUAGGCGGCCAAGCAGGUCCGCUGUGAAACUCGAGGCUCAACCUCGAGACGUCGGUGGAAACCGUUUGGCUAGAGUCCGGAAGAGGAGAGUGGAAUUCCCGGGUGUAGCGGUGAAAUGCGCAGAUAUCGGGAAGAACACCCGUGGCGAAGGCGGUGAUCUGGGCCGGCACGUGACGCUGAGGAGCGGAAAGCGUGGGUACGGCAAACGAGGA
rnacentral:rRNA from 1 species